AUGACUUCUAUUUCUGUGGGAAAUUUGAAUCUGGACAUGAAAAGAGAAAACAAAAAAAAAAUUCUGAAUUGGAUUAGAAAUAUUCAGAGAUUUAAUCUAAAACAAUUUUUAUCAACAUGCCAAGCUUUUUGAAGAUGGAAAUCUUUUCAUAACUAAAAAAAAAUCAUAACAAGAACUUUGACAAGCAAAAGUUCUUAAUAUAGGGUAAAGCUCUAAAGUUACUUCUUGAAAAUUAAAAUUCUUACAAAAAGAAUGCUUUUGAGUGAAUUCCAUAGUGUUGGAAGGGGCUUGCCGUGAACUACCUCACACUCUGCUUCCACUAGUAGAUUCUCAAAUAGGAUUAGUAAAUUGGUCAAAAGAAGAGAGAGGUACUGAGUGGUGAAUUGUUCAAAAAUAAAUUGGUAUUUUUUUUCUUAUUAAUUACCCAAAUAGGAUUUUCUAUGCCUUAAUCAGUCAAUUGUCUAAAGAAACAUUGUUAAUUAACUAAAAUUGAAUUAAACAACAGUUGAUUUUGGUUGAUAUAUUUUGAUUUAGCCAACCCCAUCGAGAAAUCCUGCACUUGCCCCCUGGCCUUGCUCCAACUUACUAUACAUAUAUUCAUAAUUUUGUUAUCUACUUAUAUUUAUAUGGUAAUUUUGAAUAACCCCCCAAAAAUUUUCAAAUUCCUUCAAUUUCCUUUAAAAAAAUAAAAUAAAAGUAUACACGGAUCCCCCUUCUUCAAUUACUCCAUAUUUUAUUUUUCCUUCUCUAAUUCUUAUUCUUUUUAUUUUCCUUCUACUUAUUUAAAUCAAUUCAUAAAUCGCUCCAAAGAAGAUAGUUGUGAUUGUAUUUAAUGAAUAUUUUGGUUCUUAUAUUUGUCAAUUAUUUAAUUUUUUACCCUAUUUAUUUAGUAUAUUAUUUUACAAUUUUUUUUUUUUUUUUUUUUUUCUUGUUUGCCUUUUAAUUUAGAAAAGUUACACUCUGUAUUUGUUAUACUGUUGAUUUUUUUUUCUUUUCAAUCAAGUGCCCUGUACCCCCUUAAAAUAAAAUCCCGACUCCGCCCCUGACUGUACCACAGUACCAUCCAUGCAGGCUUACAAGUCACUCUUCCUUCUCACUUAAAUAGCCCAAGUGCAUGGCCACAUUUAUGUCUUUUACUGUUUGGCCUCGAUCAGCUGCAUGUGCCAAACAGAUCUCAUAUGAAUUUAAAGCAUAAUAGGUGUUUUCUAAACUUAUCUAUUCAUAUGCGUACAUAUCUAUAUCUAUAUAUAUAUAUAUAUAUAUGUAGACACACACAACUUUGGCACGACUAUGAGGUGGCAUAAUGGCAGACUUGGCAGUUCUUAACUUCUUAUAUAAUGGCAAUGCAACAAAUAUCAGGAAUGGCUCGAACCUCACUACCGACAUAGCGGAAGAAACAACUGCAGAGCAGGAAGAGGAAAAGGAUGGUUUCAAAAUCUCUCAAGAUGCUUAGAGACAUUAUUGAGGCUAAGGCUAAUCUUCGAACUAUAUUGCUUGAAAAAAAUUCUCAGAAUUGAGAGAUUUGAUAAGAAGCUUGAUAAGAAGUGCAAGGGGAUGAAUGGUGAAAUUCAAAGCACUAAGAAGAAAAUCAAGGUAUACAGGAGGGAAUUGUUUGCCAUGAAGGUUAUUUGUGUGUCUUCUCUGCCAGAGAUGAGCUAUGCCAAAGAGUUGCUCUGCAGUGUCUCUUCGUGUGGCAAAAUUAUGCUUUCCCCAAUGCUGGAUAUCAAGACAAGAAAGUCACUAUAGGAUUCGGCUCUAUUCAAAAUCACGCCUUCCGAGGCUCAACAAGUUGGGAGGAGUCACUCCAAAUGCUCAAGCAGACGAUAGUCUCUAUGGAUAGUAUGACUGCCUUGUGUAUUGAAAAAGGUCUCUUAAAGAAAGAGUUAAAUGAAAAAGAGAGCGAGUUGGAGAAAAUGAGAAGUGAUAUCAAAGCUGAAAUGAAAUUGAGAUCUCCAAUGAAAAGGAGCUGAAGUUUGCUGCCAAAUUGAUCCGCAAGAAGGGAUUACCAGGAUUCAAAGUUGUAUUAUCCCUACUGUCAAUGAAGACUUGAGGGUUGUACUUAGUCUGCUUGCUCCAACCUGUGGAGUGCAACAUGUAUAUGAUCACUGAUUGGAAUUUGGAGGAGGCAGUCUAUGUCCCUAAAGGCUAGAACAAGAGGGUAUGAAUCAAUAUAUGGCUCUUCAAUUUUAUUUUAUUUUAUUAUUAUUAUUAUUUUUAUAUUCAUCAAAUGACUAUUCUUCCUUUUUAGUGCACUUGUGGCCAUGCUAUCAAAGGCUAAUCUUGUGGAGUAUAUGGAUUUUGUUACUGUUAUUAUUUCACAUCUACAGUGGAAGAAAUGGUAAUACUUAUGCAUGAUACAUAUAUAUGCUACGCUUCACAGAUUGGAGCAAGCAGACUAAGUACGACCCUUAAGUCUUCAUUGACUAGUGGGGACAACUUUGCAUCCUGGUACUCCCUUCUUGCGGAUCAAUUUGGCAGCAAACUUCAGCUCCUUUUCGUUGGAGAUCUCAAUUUCAUCUACAUAUAGUAAUUCUGUAAUCAUGCCAUCUCUUUCCACUUUUUCAGCUGUGAUAUCACUUCUUGUUUUCUCCAACUCGCUCUCUUUUUCAUUUAACUCUUUCUUCAAGCGACCUUUUUCAAUAUGCAAGGCAGCCAUCCUAUCCACAUAGACUAUCGCCUGCUUGAGCAUUUGGAGUGACUCCUCCGAACUUGUUGAGCUACUUGCAGUUUCCUCAAAAGGCAUGAUUUCGAAUCGAGCCGAAUCCUCCAGUGACUUUCAGUGAGCAUUGGGGAAAGUAUAAUUUUGCCAGACAAAGAGACACUGCAGAGCAACUCUCUGGCAUAGCUCAUCUCUGGCAGAGAAGACACAAAUAAUCUUCAUAGCAGACAAUUCCCUCCUAUAUACCUUGAUUUUCUUCUUAGUGCUUUUAAUUUCACCGUUCAUCCGCUUGCACUUCUUAUCAAGCUUCUUCAGUUGUGUUUUCUGAGAAUUUUUUUCAAGUAAUAGAGUUCGAAGAUUAGCCUUAGCCUCAAUAAUGUCUCUAAGCAUCUUGAGAGAUUUUGAAACCAUCCUUUUUCCGCUUCUGUGACCGUUUCUUCCUGCUCUGCAGUUGUUUCUUCCACCAUGUCGGUGGUGAGGUUUGAGCCAUUUCGGGAUCUCCCGAGGGACUGGAUCUGGAGAAUUCGAAACCCUAGAAACCUUUCUUGGACCAAUCUUCUCUUCAUGUCGAGGGAACAUGUAAUAAUUUCUCCCAUCCACUUACUCAAAAUUAAAUCUUGUGAACAUACUUUCCCAACACAAAAGUUUGGAUCUUUGUUCGUUCUGUGAAGAAAACUAGUACUCCUAUUUUGAAUCUUCAAUCUGAGAGCUUAUUUAUAUAUAAAUUAUGAGGAGAAUAGUUUCAACGAGGAAAAGGAUGAGAUUCAUCUCUAAAUGCACAAAAAAACACAAGAGUAAAAACUACAAGGAGGAUUGGAUCAGUGGGCUGCCUGAUGAAAUUCUUGUUUCUGUUGUGUCUCUUCUGGGAAUUAGAGAAGCGGCACGCUGUGUACUCUCAAAAAGAUGGAAACAUUUGUGGUCAUUUAACAGGGUUCUAAACUUUGAUGCUUUACAAACAAUUUUUGUUCUUGAAUUAAAUCCAGAGGAGCUGCUGGAAGUAGAAAGAUCUAAGUACAUAAGGGGUGAACAAAGUUGUGGAGUCGCAUCGUGGUUUAACCAUAGACGAGUUUAGAGUUUCUUUUUGUUUGAAUAUCUCUUCUAAUUGUGUCAUUGAUGGAUGGAUUGAGUUUGCAAUAGCAAAAGUGUGUUCAAAGGCUUGAGUUGGACUUCCAACCAUGUAUCCUGUUCGAAGAGGCUGCUGGUAUACCAUAUACUUUUCCAAACCGGACUUAUAUUCACAUCAAAAGUCCCGUAGGUUUAUCGAGCAUUAGGUCCCUAAGAUCCCUCUGUUUUAAGCGUGUGAACAUUUGUGGAGAAAUUCUUGAAUACUUCCUUUCCAAUUAUCCUAUUCUCGAAUCUUUACUAGUAGAAAGCUCGGAACAUUUAGUGAAUUUAAUAGUUAUUGGUUAUUCACUUCGGCUGAAGUUUUUGGAGAUAUCCUUCUGCCCCAGUUUGAUGGAUCUUGAGGUCUGUGCUACUAGACUCUUCUCUUUUCCUGUUUUCAAGCUACUUUUCGCAGAUUGAGAAUCUUUCGUUGGGCAUGGAUUGUCUCUUUGGAACAAGGGUAAUAGAGGAUUCAAACAACUUCUUGAAUUUACCAAGCUCAAGCACUUGACAUUGCAAGUUAUAGCAGAUGAAUCUAAAAGCGUUCUCAGCUGGACUACCUUGAUAAAUGCAUCACCUUUGCUGCGUAAAUUUAAAUCGAAGUUAUACUAUUCGGGGCCUUGUGGGUCUCUAGGAAGAAAACUGCCUAAAAGUUCGCAACCAUCCCCAUCAUUGCUUUAAGGAGGUGGAAUUGGCUGGGUUUGUUGGCCGUCUUGUUGAUCUUGAGCUUACCCAAUAUUUGAUUAAGAAUGCGGUCAUGUUGGAGAAGAUUAUUAUCGAUCGUCACUGUACAUAUAUAUUGGGCAGACCAAUACCACCUUGGAUGCUUAAGGAAACAAAGGAGAAAGGAUAUGCAAAUGAGCAGGUUAUGCAACUCCAAAAAAGUCUACCUGUAAGAGUCGAAAUGGAUCUUAUUUAAUCUUUCUCAAGCUCAAUGUUUAGUUUGCUUGUACUUUUAAGAUAAUUUAAUUUCUUUAUUUACAAGUUGUUCUUACUUGUUA